AAAUUGACGGGGGCCCGCACAAGCAGCGGAGCAUGUGGUUAAUUCGAAGCAACGCGAAGAACCUUACCUAGACUUGACAUCUCCUGAAUUACCCGUAACUGGGGAAGCUCUUCGGAGCAGGAAGACAGGUGGUGCAUGGUUGUCGUCAGCUCGUGUCGUGAGAUGUUGGGUUAAGUCCCGCAACGAGCGCAACCCUUAUCGUUAGUUGCUACCAUUAAGUUGAGCACUCUAGCGAGACUGCCCGGGUUAACCGGGAGGAAGGUGGGGAUGACGUCAAAUCAUCAUGCCCCUUAUGUCUAGGGCUACACACGUGCUACAAUGGUGAGAACAAAGAGAGGCAAGACCGCGAGGUGGAGCAAAUCUCACAAAACUCAUCCCAGUUCGGAUUGCAGGCUGAAACUCGCCUGCAUGAAGCCGGAGUUGCUAGUAAUCGCGAAUCAGCAUGUCGCGGUGAAUACGUUCCCGGGCCUU
rnacentral:rRNA from 1 species